AGCUUUGGAGUUGGUGGUCAGCUUGGACCUUGGCAUCCCUUAUGGAAUCUCUCCAGAAAUGACACAGUUGUGACUCUGCUAUGUUAUGUGACUUGUUCAAGAAACGACAGAGUUUUGAUUCAAAUGCAGAACUUCUAACAUUCAGCUACCCAGAGAUUCUCUUAUGCCCUCCUUAAGAGACCAGGGAUAACAAAAUGUUACUUAAAUCUGCUUGGAUUUUUAGGAAACUGCUUCUCCAGCAGUGAAGUUGGAGCCUUGUGACCUGUGCCCAACAGACUGUACUGUGAGCAGAAGCAGUGUGUUUUCCUGAGCUAAGGCAGUUCCCAUGAGUGAAUCUCCCUGAGCUGUAGAGACCUCGAACAAUUGUGUGUUUCAGUUGGCCUACCUGACAAUGGAGAGGGCUGUCUAACACACAUCGGACAGGAUGAGUGUGGAAAAUAAUUCAUUCUCACGUUAAUCAUUGGAUUUCCGAGUUUGCACUUGCAGCCCCUAAUGUUCAAUGCCUUUACUAAUGUAGAUAUUGGAAAUUGAAGUUAGAUGCUACUGUAUCAAAAACAUAAAAUAUAUACUAUUGGGUCAGUUUCAGAUGUGAAUGGUGAGGUGACUGGUAUUAGAGGAAGAAAAUGUAGUGGUUGGGUCGGGCUAACCCAAAGCAUAAAAGGACAUUGCCACCUGUGAUCAGAAGGGAGGUUAGCCACAUACUUAUUGUUUUGCAACUUAGGAAAAGUGCUUGGAAAGAAGUGUGUUUUCUGAAUUGGCUACUAUUGGUGGUAGUGGGCAAGAUGCUGUAGAGGUGAAUUGAGCGGGGAAAAAGUUACCAGCUAGCAAUUAGAAAUUAAAAGGGGCCGGGCUUGGUGGCUCAUGCCUGUAAUCCCAGCACUUUGGGAGGCCGAGGUGGGUGGACCACAAGGUCAGGAGAUCGAGACCAUCCUGGCUAACACGGUGAAACCGUGUCUCUACUAAAAAUACAAAAAAAAAUUAGCCGGGCGUGGUGGCGGAUGCCUGUAGUCCCAGGUACUCAGGAGGCUGAGGCAGGAGAAUGGGGUGAACCCAGGAGGCGGAGCUUGCAGUGAGCCGAGAUCGCGCCACUGCACUCCAGCCUGGGCAACAGAGCAAGACUCCGUCUCGAAAAACAAAACAAACAAAUGACAAACAAAAACAAAAACAAACAAAAAAAGAAAUUAAAAAGAAUAGGUGAUAUUCAGAAAUUCAGAGACUAGCCAGGCACAGUGCUCAUGCAUGUAAUACCAGCACUUUAGGAGACUGCAGCAGGAGGAUCACUUGAGCCUGGGAGGUCCAGGCUACAUUAAGCCAUGAUUGCACCACUGCACUCCAGCCUGGGUAACAGAGCAAGACCCUGUCUAAAAAAAAAUAAACAGAAAUAGAAAUUCAGGGACUGGAUAGUUUGGAAAAUCAAGCAAGGCAAACAAAAUACAGGCAUGCCUAAAUAAGUGAAAUAAGCCAGGCACAGAAAGACAAACAUUGCGUCUUCUCACUUAUUUGUGGGAUCUAAAAAUCAAAACAACUGAACAUAUGUCUCAGGGACAUAGAGAAUAGAAGAAUGGUUACCAGAAGCUGGGAAGGGUAGUGAGGGGCUGGGUGAGAGGUGGGGAUGUUAACAGGUACAAAAAAUAAUAAUUAGAAAGAAUGAAUAAGACCUACCAUUUGAUAGUACA